GAGUCAGCCGGGCAGUCGCUGCGGAGCUUUUGCUCCGGGGAGGAAAGUCCGGGCUUCAUGGGCAGGGAUGCCAGAUAACAUCUGGGAAGCGUGAGCUUACGAAAAGCGCAGCAGAAAACAAACCGCAGGCUCCGGCCUGUAAGGGUGAAAAGGCGGGGUAAGAGCCCACCGCGUGACUGGCAACAGUUCACGGCAUUGCAAGCUCCAUCCGAAGCAAGACCGAGUAAGCCCCUGUUGAUUUUGCCCAGGAGGGGGCGGGUAGGUUGCUUGAGGCCGUCAGCAAUGGCGGUCCUAGAGGAAUGACUGCCGCCGCAAGGCACAGAACCCGGCUUACAGGCUGACUCA
rnacentral:RNase_P_RNA from 1 species